AAUAGCCUAACGGCUGAACCAGCAACUUGGAGGAAUGUAUAGGUAAAGCUAAAUGUAUUUUUUAGUAGUAAUACAUAUUCGAUUUAUUCGUAUAAAGUUCUAGAUAGAAUUAUGAUAAUGACAUUGUCUAUCUAUAAGUCUUGGCCAAGCUACGUGCCAGCAGUCGCGGUAAGACGUAAAAGACUAGUGUUAUUCAUCUUUAAUAGGUUUAAAGCGUACCUAGACGGUAAAUCAAGCCUUAAGGGGACUAAUUUAACUAGAGUUAGAUGUAAGGGUGCAUAAACGUACUGUUGUGUGUAGAGAUGAAAUUCUUUUAUACCAGAUUAUUGGCACGGGUUAAGGCGAAAGCAUCACCUUAUGUAAUAACUGACGUUGAGAGACGAAGGCUUUGUGUCGCGAACAGGAUUAGAUACCCUAGUAGUCUAAGCAGAAAAUGAUGAGUGUCAUAGGCUAAAUGUUAUUUGGUCUAUAAAUGAAAGUGUAAGCAUUCCACCUCAAGAGUAAUUUGGCAACAUUGGAAUUGAAAUCAUUAGACCGUUUCUGAAACCAGUAGUGAAGUAUGUUGUUUAAUUAGAUAAUCCACAAAGAACCUUACCACAAUUUGAAUAUUUUACAAGUGUUGCACGGCUGUCUUCAGUUAAUGUCGUGAGAUUAUGGUUGGUUCCAUUAAAUUAACGUAAACCCUUACUUUAUUUUAUAAAAUAUAAAGUUGUUCGCCGCUAGAUUGGUUAGAUAAAAGGGACUAAGACAAGUCAUCAUGGCCUUAAUAUUGUGGGCUAUAGACGUGCCACAUAUGCCUAACAAAGGGAUGCUAAAUUGCAAAAUUAAGCUAAUCCCCCUAAAUACGGAUAUAAAUGUCGU
rnacentral:rRNA from 1 species